rnacentral:tRNA from 1 species
UCCCUGGAAGACUAGUGGUUAGGCCUCGGCGCUCUCACCGCCGCACCCCGGGUUCAAUUCCCAGACAGGGAA